UCGCGGUCCGCGAUUGGGUCGCGCAUAUUUCAUUCACAGUAACAGUAACAGCCUUCUCCUAACAGGCGAACGAGUUUUGCGUAAGUAACGUGAUAUAAUAGACAACAUGCCAGUGAGUCAAUGGGGAAUCUUUAAUGAUAAUUAUUAAAUGAUCGUUUCCAUCGCAAAUGAAUCUUUACAUAUGAACCUCGGCUGAGUGGAUUGGGAAUACUGAUUUUGUGGGGUCUGAUAGCGUUGAGUUUGUGAUUAAUAGAAUAGAGAUGAUGAAGAGAGAAGCUGGAAUUGGUAAAAUGGAUGUGGAUGUUGUUGCUUUUGAUGACUUUGGUACACUAUUCGUUUAAAUUCCAUGAAAUUUCACUGCUAUUGAUAAUGGAUUAAUAGGAAGGUGGUCGAGAGACGCCAGAUCGAUCGAAGAAGAAAUCCCGUCUACCGGGAAACGAACGAAAGGGUGGAGGAAGAAGGCGAACUCGAAUUUCCGGAUUCGAGGACAUUCCGCAGGCACCGGGGACUCCCUUCAAGGAAACCGCAC